GAUCAAUAAGUAAAAUAUACUUAUAUUUUGAAAAUAUAAUUUUAGAGAUUAAAUAACUCUAUUGAUCU
rnacentral:tRNA from 1 species